rnacentral:rRNA from 1 species
AUCUGGGCGGCGGAAUUCAGGAUGGCUGGACGGGCUUCGCGCUCGCCCGGCCGUUUGAUAUUUCCGUCGCCGGUGCAGACGUCGCGACCUGUUCGUCGUCGGUCCUUGCUCGGAGGAAUCGCGAUCGAGUUCGUUGCGGGGCGCGUUUCGGCGCGUCUCGCGAUGAAGGCGCGGCUCUCUGGCUGACGACGGACAGUAAGCAACGGUGGCCGGCGCGGUGUCUCGCACUCCGCGUCCGGUGCCGGUCAGCGACGAUUUCUUCGGGCCUCUUUCCGACCCGUCUUGAAACACGGACCAAGGAGUCUAACAUGCGCGCGAGUCGCGGGGUUUCGAGCGUGCCACGGCGCGCUCGUUACUUCCGAAACCCGUACGUUGAAGGCGUAAUGAAAGUGAACAGGGAAGAUGGCGUUCCGAGUCCACGAACCGUGAUCGAGUAUCGCGGCCGGACGCCCGCACUCCCGGGGCGUCUCAAUGGCUCGUCGCGGAUGCGGACGGUCGUUCUUCGGGGCGGCCGUCGGUCUGCGACGGACCGA